UACAGAGGUCCCAAGCGUUGUUCGGAAUCACUGGGCGUAAAGGGCGUGUAGGCGGUCCGCUAAGUCUGAUGUGAAAGCCCGGGGCUCACCCCCGGAAGUGCAUUGGAAACUGGCGGACUCGAGUCCCGGAGAGGAGAGUGGAAUUCCUGGUGUAGCGGUGAAAUGCGUAGAUAUCAGGAGGAACACCGGUGGCGAAGGCGGCUCUCUGGACGGUGACUGACGCUGAGACGCGAAAGCGUGGGGAGCAAACAGG
rnacentral:rRNA from 1 species